rnacentral:misc_RNA from 1 species
UCCGGUUUGGCACCGGCAGUCUUUCUAGAGUCCCCGACUUUACUCGCUGGCAACUAGAAACGGGGGUUGCGCUCGUUGCGGGACUUAACCCAACACCUCACGGCACGAGCUGACGACAGCCAUGCAGCACCUGUGUAGGCUGGUAUUGCUACCUCGUCACCCUUUCGGGCUCCUACUACCUACAUGUCAAGGCCAGGUAAGGUUCUUCGCGUUGCAUCGAAUUAAGCCACAUACUCCACCGCUUGUGCAGGCCCCCGUCAAUUUCUUUGAGUUUUAAUCUUGCGACCGUACUUCCCAGGCGGCACAUUUAACGCGUUAGCUACGCCACAAAAGGGGUCGAAUCCUUUUACAGCAAAUGUGCACCGUUUACGGCUAGGACUAC